CGGUGUGCCUAAUACAUGCAAGUCGUACGCACUGGCCCAACUGAUUGAUGGUGCUUGCACCUGAUUGACGAUGGAUCACCAGUGAGUGGCGGACGGGUGAGUAACACGUAGGUAACCUGCCCCGGAGCGGGGGAUAACAUUUGGAAACAGAUGCUAAUACCGCAUAACAACAAAAGCCACAUGGCUUUUGUUUGAAAGAUGGCUUUGGCUAUCACUCUGGGAUGGACCUGCGGUGCAUUAGCUAGUUGGUAAGGUAACGGCUUACCAAGGCGAUGAUGCAUAGCCGAGUUGAGAGACUGAUCGGCCACAAUGGAACUGAGACACGGUCCAUACUCCUACGGGAGGCAGCAGUAGGGAAUCUUCCACAAUGGGCGCAAGCCUGAUGGAGCAACACCGCGUGAGUGAAGAAGGGUUUCGGCUCGUAAAGCUCUGUUGUUGGAGAAGAAUGUGCGUGAGAGUAACUGUUCACGCAGUGACGGUAUCCAACCAGAAAGUCACGGCUAACUACGUGCCAGCAGCCGCGGUAAUACGUAGGUGGCAAGCGUUAUCCGGAUUUAUUGGGCGUAAAGCGAGCGCAGGCGGUUGCUUAGGUCUGAUGUGAAAGCCUUCGGCUUAACCGAAGAAGUGCAUCGGAAACCGGGCGACUUGAGUGCAGAAGAGGACAGUGGAACUCCAUGUGUAGCGGUGGAAUGCGUAGAUAUAUGGAAGAACACCAGUGGCGAAGGCGGCUGUCUGGUCUGCAACUGACGCUGAGGCUCGAAAGCAUGGGUAGCGAACAGGAUUAGAUACCCUGGUAGUCCAUGCCGUAAACGAUGAGUGCUAGGUGUUGGAGGGUUUCCGCCCUUCAGUGCCGGAGCUAACGCAUUAAGCACUCCGCCUGGGGAGUACGACCGCAAGGUUGAAACUCAAAGGAAUUGACGGGGGCCCGCACAAGCGGUGGAGCAUGUGGUUUAAUUCGAAGCUACGCGAAGAACCUUACCAGGUCUUGACAUCUUGCGCUAACCUUAGAGAUAAGGCGUUCCCUUCGGGGACGCAAUGACAGGUGGUGCAUGGUCGUCGUCAGCUCGUGUCGUGAGAUGUUGGGUUAAGUCCCGCAACGAGCGCAACCCUUGUUACUAGUUGCCAGCAUUAAGUUGGGCACUCUAGUGAGACUGCCGGUGACAAACCGGAGGAAGGUGGGGACGACGUCAGAUCAUCAUGCCCCUUAUGACCUGGGCUACACACGUGCUACAAUGGACGGUACAACGAGUCGCAAGCUCGCGAGAGUAAGCUAAUCUCUUAAAGCCGUUCUCAGUUCGGACUGUAGGCUGCAACUCGCCUACACGAAGUCGGAAUCGCUAGUAAUCGCGGAUCAGCAUGCCGCGGUGAAUACGUUCCCGGGCCUUGUACACACCGCCCGUCACACCAUGGGAGUUUGUAACGCCCAAAGUCGGUGGCCUAACCUUUAUGGAGGGAGCCGCCUAAGGCGGGACAG
rnacentral:rRNA from 2 species